AUCCCGGACGCACCCCUCCGCGUCGACGCCUUCCGGGCUGCGCGCUACAAGAUCGCUCCCGGACGAGGCGCGCUCCCUCGGCCCCGUGAGCUACUCGGAUCGAUCCCGGGCAACGAUCUGAGGAUUUAGUUCUCCAACUGUGGCGGUUCCCGCACCUCCGAUCCGUGACGCCGUUCUCGGGAAGAUCUCGAAGAAUUAUGAAAUGGGAGUAGAAACUGCUCUGUUCGUCGAUGAUUACCAGUCCAACCAAUUGAGGUGUAGAGAGCUCCAAGUCCCUGUGCUACAGUGAGAACCUGCUUGGACUUUCUACAUUCAAAUGCUAUUUUGGAGCAAUUUCUGAUUCAUCGAUUUUGUUGUAACUGAACCGCUUUAUAUUUUGGAGCAAUUUCUGAUUUCGUUGCUUCAUUUAUUGAAAGAAAUAUUCUCAUUUAUUUACAAAGAGAAUGCCUUACACAUGUUAAUUUUAAUAUUUUGCGCAGGUGAUUGAUGGCAUCUUCUACAAAUUUUCUUGAAGAUAGAACAGUUUGGUGCAAAUAUAACAAGAUAGCUUUAAUAAGAACUUCACAACAAGAUAGCUUUAUUGUAUUCAUUUUAGUAAUUAUAUGUAUUAAACUUCUAUUCGUCUAAAUGUAAUAUGAUCCACUGUGUUCAUUUGAGGUGUAUGUAGGAUACUUGCCUCACUUCUAAUUUCUGAACCAACUUUAACAAUUUCAUGUGAUCACUCGAUGAUGUGGUGCAGCUUCGUCUCAAUGAAUCCGCUGAUUCAUCUGUGUUUA